rnacentral:rRNA from 1 species
UGGGGAAUAUUGCACAAUGGGCGCAAGCCUGAUGCAGCCAUGCCGCGUGUAUGAAGAAGGCCUUCGGGUUGUAAAGUACUUUCAGCGGGGAGGAAGGCGAUAAGGUUAAUAACCUUGUCGAUUGACGUUACCGCAGAAGAAGCACCGGCUAACUCCGUGCCAGCAGCCGCGGGAAUACGGAGGGUGCAAGCGUUAAUCGGAAUUACUGGGCGUAAAGCGCACGCAGGCGGUCUGUCAAGUCGGAUGUGAAAUCCCCGGGCUCAACCUGGGAACUGCAUUCGAAACUGGCAGGCUAGAGUCUUGUAGAGGGGGGUAGAAUUCCAGGUGUAGCGGUGAAAUGCGUAGAGAUCUGGAGGAAUACCGGUGGCGAAGGCGGCCCCCUGGACAAAGACUGACGCUCAGGUGCGAAAGCGUGGGGAGCAAACA